rnacentral:rRNA from 2 species
UGCUAUACAUGCAAGUCGAACGCACUCUCGUUUAGAUUGAAGGAGCUUGCUCCUGAUUGAUAAACAUUUGAGUGAGUGGCGGACGGGUGAGUAACACGUGGGUAACCUGCCCUAAAGUGGGGGAUAACAUUUGGAAACAGAUGCUAAUACCGCAUAAAACCUAACACCGCAUGGUGUAGGGUUGAAAGAUGGUUUCGGCUAUCACUUUAGGAUGGACCCGCGGUGCAUUAGUUAGUUGGUGAGGUAAAGGCUCACCAAGACCGUGAUGCAUAGCCGACCUGAGAGGGUAAUCGGCCACACUGGGACUGAGACACGGCCCAGACUCCUACGGGAGGCAGCAGUAGGGAAUCUUCCACAAUGGACGAAAGUCUGAUGGAGCAACGCCGCGUGAGUGAAGAAGGUUUUCGGAUCGUAAAACUCUGUUGUUGGAGAAGAAUGUAUCUGAUAGUAACUGAUCAGGUAGUGACGGUAUCCAACCAGAAAGCCACGGCUAACUACGUGCCAGCAGCCGCGGUAAUACGUAGGUGGCAAGCGUUGUCCGGAUUUAUUGGGCGUAAAGCGAGCGCAGGCGGUUUCUUAAGUCUGAUGUGAAAGCCUUCGGCUCAACCGAAGAAGUGCAUCGGAAACUGGGAAACUUGAGUGCAGAAGAGGACAGUGGAACUCCAUGUGUAGCGGUGAAAUGCGUAGAUAUAUGGAAGAACACCAGUGGCGAAGGCGGCUGUCUGGUCUGUAACUGACGCUGAGGCUCGAAAGCAUGGGUAGCAAACAGGAUUAGAUACCCUGGUAGUCCAUGCCGUAAACGAUGAGUGCUAGGUGUUGGAGGGUUUCCGCCCUUCAGUGCCGCAGCUAACGCAUUAAGCACUCCGCCUGGGGAGUACGACCGCAAGGUUGAAACUCAAAGGAAUUGACGGGGGCCCGCACAAGCGGUGGAGCAUGUGGUUUAAUUCGAAGCAACGCGAGAACCCUUACCAGGUCUUGACAUCCUUUGACCACUCUAGAGAUAGAGCUUUCCCUUCGGGGACAAAGUG